AGAGGAGCUUGCUCCUCGGAACAGUGGCGGACGGGUGAGUAACACGUGAGCAACCUGGCUCUAAGAGGGGGACAACAGUUGGAAACGACUGCUAAUACCGCAUAACGUAUCGGGAUGGCAUCUUCCUGAUACCAAAGAUUUUAUCGCUUAGAGAUGGGCUCGCGUCUGAUUAGAUAGUUGGCGGGGUAACGGCCCACCAAGUCGACGAUCAGUAGCCGGACUGAGAGGUUGAACGGCCACAUUGGGACUGAGACACGGCCCAGACUCCUACGGGAGGCAGCAGUGGGGGAUAUUGGACAAUGGGGGCAACCCUGAUCCAGCGACGCCGCGUGAGGGAAGAAGGUUUUCGGAUUGUAAACCUCUGUUGACGGAGGAAAAAAUGAUGGUAUCCGUUUAGAAAGCCACGGCUAACUACGUGCCAGCAGCCGCGGUAAUACGUAGGUGGCAAGCGUUGUCCGGAAUUACUGGGUGUAAAGGGAGUGUAGGCGGGAUAUCAAGUCAGAAGUGAAAAUUACGGGCUCAACUCGUAACCUGCUUUUGAAACUGACAUUCUUGAGUGAA
rnacentral:rRNA from 1 species